rnacentral:rRNA from 1 species
ACAACCAGGAUGUUGGCUUAGAAGCAGCCAUACAUUUAAAGAGUGCGUAAUAGCUCACUGGUCGAGUGAAUUUGCGCGGAAAAUUACCGGGGCUAAGCUAUACACCGAAAUUGCGGGUUAUGAUGUAUCUAAUAAUGUGUAUCAUAAUAAGAAGAUAAAUUUUCUGUUAAAAACAUGAAAUGUUUUUAACCAAAAUGUUCAAAAGGAUAAGGUAUACAAGAAAAGGUGCAUAUUAUUAGAUACAUUGUAGCGGUAGAGGAGCAUUCUGUAGUAGGGUGAAGUAUGAUCGAAAGGACAUAUGGACGAGGCAGAAGAGAGAAUGCUGGAAUAAGUAGCGAGAGCAAAGUGAGAAUCUUUGCCGUCGAAAGUCUAAGGUUUCCUGGGGAAGGUUCGUCCGCCCAGGGUAAGUCGGGACCUAAGGUGAGGCCAAGGAGGCGUAGCCGAUGGAUAGCAGGUAUAAAAUUCCUGCACUACCGAAAUACUUAAAAACGAUAAGGGACGCAGGAGAGGAAGGAAAUCCGGGAAGAGGAAAAACCGGAGCCGAAAGGCAUAGUGAAAAUUUAAAGUAACGAAGUUCCAAGAAUCACACUGACGAGAAAAGCUUAUUGACAUUGUAUUAAGGUACCCGUACCGCAAACCGACACAGGUAGAUGAGGAGAGGAUCCUAAGACGAGCGAGAGAAGUACUGUUAAGGAACUCGGCAAACUAACCCCGUAACUUAGGGAGAAGGGGUACCUAUGUAAAAGUAGGUCGCAGAGAAGAGUCCCAAGCAACUGUUUAACAAAAACACAGGUUUCUGCUAAAUCGAAAGAUGAAGUAUAGGAGCUGACGCCUGCCCAGUGCUGGAAGGUUAAGGGGAAAUGUUAGAGUAAUCGAAGCAUAGAACUAAAGCCCCAGUGAACGGCGGCCGUAACUAUAACGGUCCUAAGGUAGCGAAAUUCCUUGUCAGGUAAGUUCUGACCCGCACGAAAGGCGUAAUGAUUUGGGCGCUGUCUCGACAAUGUACUCGGCGAAAUUGUAGUACUAGUGAAGAUGCUAGUUACCUGCGACAAGACAGAAAGACCCCAUGGAGCUUUACUGUAGCUUGAUAUUGGGUUUCGGUAAUUUAUGUACAGGAUAGGUGGGAGACUAUGAAGCAAGAGCGUCAGCUUUUGUGGAGUCACCCUUGGGAUACCACCCUUAAAUUAUUGGAAUUCUAACCUGUGAUCAUGAACUGGUCAGGGGACAAUGUCAGGCGGGCAGUUUGACUGGGGCGGUCGCCUCCUAAAGAGUAACGGAGGCGCCCAAAGGUUUCCUCAACCCGGACAGAAAUCGGGUGAAAGAGUGCAAAGGCAGAAGGAAGCUUAACUGAAAGACAGACAUGUCGAGCAGAUACGAAAGUAGGGCUUAGUGAUCCGGUGGUAUGUGAGUGGAAAUGCCAUCGCUCAACGGACAAAAGUUACCCUGGGGAUAACAGGCUUAUCUCUCCCAAGAGUUCACAUCGACGGGGAGGUUUGGCACCUCGAUGUCGGCUCAUC